rnacentral:misc_RNA from 1 species
AACGCACAUUGCGCCUCCUGAUAUUCCGGGAGGCACGCCUGUCCGAGCGCCAUUACACCCCCCAAGCCAUGCUUGAUGUUGGGCCAUGACGCGCUGUCAAGCCCCAAACCUUUAGGCGCCCCCUACUGGCCGCGAGCGUAGCAAGAAUUUUUUCCCUCGUUCCGCGUGUCCAAUGGGUGGGUCGCCGAUUGACCCCUAAAUUUUACAAGGUUUGGCCUCGGAUCAGGCGGGGAUACCCGCUGAACUUAA